rnacentral:rRNA from 1 species
CAGCAGCCGCGGGAAUACGAAGGGUGCAAGCGUUAAUCGGAAUUACUGGGCGUAAAGCGCGCGUAGGUGGUUCAUUAAGUUGGAUGUGAAAGCCCUGGGCUCAACCUGGGAACUGCAUCCAAAACUGGUGAGCUAGAGUACGGUAGAGGGUAGUGGAAUUUCCUGUGUAGCGGUGAAAUGCGUAGAUAUAGGAAGGAACACCAGUGGCGAAGGCGACUACCUGGACUGAUACUGACACUGAGGUGCGAAAGCGUGGGGAGCAAACAGGAUUAGAUACCCCCGUAGUCCCUGUCUCUUAUAC